UACGGAAGGCAGCAGUGGGGAAUAUUGCACAAUGGGCGAAAGCCUGAUGCAGCUAUGCCGCGUGUAUGAAGAAGGCCUUAGGGUUGUAAAGUACUUUCAUCGGGGAGGAAAAACAAAACUAAUAAUUUUAUUUCUUGACGUUACCCGAAAAAGAAGCACCGGCUAACUCCGUGCCAGCAGCCGCGGUAAUACGGAGGGUGCUAGCGUUAAUCAGAAUUACUGGGCGUAAAGAGCACGUAGGUGGUUUUUUUAAGUCAGAUGUGAAAUCCCUGGGCUUAACCUAGGAACUGCAUUUUGAAACUGAAAUACUAGAGUAUCGUAGAGGGAGGUAGAAUUCUAGGUGUAGUCGGUGAAAUGCGUAGAUAUCUGGAGGAAUACCUGUGGCGAAAGCGGCCUCCUAAACGAAUACUGACACUGAGGUGCGAAAGCGUGGGGAGCGAAACGAGGAUUAGAUACC
rnacentral:rRNA from 1 species